CUAUGUAGCUUCCCAUGGUGUAUAUGUACCACAUUUUCUUUAUGCAAUCCAACCUUAGUAUCUUGCCACUAAAAAUAUUUUUGUGAAGUAUAAUUGGGGCAAACUUUCCUCUAAUUUUCUUUGUGUGUACAGGUUUCUGGCAAUUAAUGUAUUUCUGACAUUAGCCCUCCUUUGUCUUUUCAUGCUAGAAGUUGUGCCAGAGUAUGAUGAGAGGAGAAGUGCCCCAUGUCCAGCGUUUUCCAAAUGUGUGAAAUCUUUCCAAUUCUGGGAUUCAGGUAGCAAGUCAAUUCUACUAAUGGACCUAAAGCCACAGUAUGCUUUUUGGCUUCUGGCAAUGAUUGUACAUAGACAGUCCAUAAAUCUGAGCACUAGUACUGGAAGCAGAAGGGACGGGGGAUGAGGAAUCACUUCAGAGAGGUGAAACUUACAAGAAUUCUGCACUUGAUGGAUCAGCUGGCAUCACCCAGAUUGAUAAUCUGGCUCAUCUGAUAUUGUGGCCUCCCCCCAGGAACUGACUCAGUGCAAGAGGACAGCUUCCACGUCCCAUGAUUUUCAUCUCCAGCCUAACCAGACAGCACUCCCGACUCACUGGUCUUCCUUCACGCACCAAAUUGUCCUUAAAAUCUCUGAUCCCCAACUGCGCUGGAAGACUCAUUUGAAUAAUAAAAAAAACUCUGGUUACA
rnacentral:lncRNA from 13 species